UUAUUGUGAUAACAAUCUUUGGACACCUUUUGAAUAGCUGUGCAAUAAUAAGACUGUUCUGAGUGAC